AGGGUUUGAUCAUGGCUCAGGAUGAACGCUGGCGGCGUGCUUAACACAUGCAAGUCGAACGAGGUCCAUGGAGCUUGCUCCGGAAGACCUAGUGGCGAACGGGUGCGUAACACGUGAGAAACCUGCCCCGGUCUCUGGAAUAACAGUUGGAAACGACUGCUAAUACCGGAUAUCACCGGUGCGCCACAUGGUGCGCCGAUGAAAGAUUUAUCGGAUUGGGAGGGUCUCGCGGCCUAUCAGCUAGUUGGAGAGGUAACGGCUCACCAAGGCAUCGACGGGUAGCUGGUCUGAGAGGAUGAUCAGCCACACUGGGACUGAGACACGGCCCAGACUCCUACGGGAGGCAGCAGUGGGGAAUCUUGCACAAUGGGCGCAAGCCUGAUGCAGCAACGCCGCGUGCGGGAAGAAGGCCCUAGGGUUGUAAACCGCUUUCAGUAGGGAAGAAAAUGACGGUACCUACAGAAGAAGGUGCGGCCAACUACGUGCCAGCAGCCGCGGUGACACGUAGGCACCAAGCGUUAUCCGGAUUUAUUGGGCGUAAAGAGCUCGUAGGCGGUUUGGUAAGUCGGGUGUGAAAACUCUGGGCUCAACCCAGAGAGGCCACCCGAUACUGCUAUGACUAGAGUACGGUAGGGGAGCGGGGAAUUCAUGGUGUAGCGGUGAAAUGCGCAGAUAUCAUGAGGAACACCAGCGGCGAAGGCGCCGCUCUGGGCCGUAACUGACGCUGAGGAGCGAAAGCA
rnacentral:rRNA from 1 species